GCCUGUCCCGGCUAACCCCGGAGAGCAGCCCCCGCGGGACUCUUGGUGGUGACUUUCCCUGGUGGUGACUUUCUUGGGAAGUGUUUGGGAUGAGAGCUCUUCACCUGGCACGUUUUCUAGCAGCAUGGACCGGGCUGUUAAGGCGCACUUAGGUCCAUCAGGCCCGAGUGGGAAUCCAAGAAGAAGCCCAGUGGGGUUGCCUCCCAGGUGGUCAGGGCUACUCCCCAAUGCCACCCACCUCAACAUCAUGGCUAGCCUGUCUACAUGCUCACUGGCCCAGGGAUUCCUGUGCCCAUGGACUCCUGGCACACCUCUCCCUUUCUGAGAUCCUGCCAGCAUAUAUCAGCUCACCAGGACUUGACUGAAACAUGUCCUUCCCCCCACAACGUGGUGUCCAGCCCCUGCCCCACCCCACCACUCACUCCUCUCUGGAAGCAGCAGGCUCUGCAGUAUUCCUGCUCCUACCUCAUUACCCCAGCCCUGAUCCUGUAUCUCUCCAGUCUCUCCUCCCCCUGGCUCUGUGCUCCUUAAGCCUGGAAGGCACCGGAGGUUCCCCAGCACAGUGAGCCAUGUGGGAAUCAGACCAUGACACUCACCUGUUCAAGACCCUCUGAAAGUUUCUCAUUCCUCUGAAAAUCCCAACUCCUUACGAUGGCCCAGAGGGACAUGUGAUGUGACUCUUGCCUGCCCUCCCAACUCCUCUCCUGCUAACCUGCCCUUGAUUGCUUCAUCCGAUCACACUGGCCUCUUGGCUGUUCCUCCUGAGGAGAUCUCUCUCACCACCGACCUUUGGCAUUCACAUGGCCUCGGCCUGGAAAGCCCUUUCCCUCAAUCUGUGCGGGGCUAUCUUCGGCACACAGGUCUCAGCAUGAGUAACAUAACUCAGGGAGGCCUUCUCAGACCAAUGACUUUAUCUAAAGAGGCCACACUCCUACCUAUGUGUCUUAUUCAUCAAUACCUUGUACCUUAUUCAUCAAUAAAUGAAUCAAUGAAAAAGA